rnacentral:rRNA from 1 species
AGUGAACGCUGGCGGUAGGCCUAACACAUGCAAGUCGAACGGCAGCACAGAGGAGCUUGCUCCUUGGGUGGCGAGUGGCGGACGGGUGAGGAAUACAUCGGAAUCUACUCUGUCGUGAGGGAUAACGCAGGGAAACUUACGCUAAUACCGCAUACGACUGACGGGUGAAAGCAGGGGACCUUCGGGCCUUGCGCGAAUGCAUGAGCCGGUGUCGGAUUAGCUAGUUGGCGGGGUAAAGGCCCACCAAGGCGACGAUCCGUAGCUGGUCUGGGAGGAUGAUCAGCCACACUGGAACUGAGACACGGUCCAGACUCCUACGGGAGGCAGCAGUGGGGAAUAUUGGACAAUGGGCGAAAGCCUGAUCCAGCCAUACCGCGUGGGUGAAGAAGGCCUUCGGGUUGUAAAGCCCUUUUGUUGGGAAAGAAAUCCAGCUGGCUGAUACCCGGUUGGGAUGACGGUACCCAAAGAAUAAGCACCGGCUAACUUCGUGCCAGCCGCCGCAGUAA